AGUGAACGCUGGCGGUAGGCCUAACACAUGCAAGUCGAACGGCAGCACAGUAAGAGCUUGCUCUUACGGGUGGCGAGUGGCGGACGGGUGAGGAAUACAUCGGAAUCUACUUUUUCGUGGGGGAUAACGUAGGGAAACUUACGCUAAUACCGCAUACGACCUACGGGUGAAAGCAGGGGAUCUUCGGACCUUGCGCGAUUGAAUGAGCCGAUGUCGGAUUAGUAAGUUGGCGGGGUAAAGGCCCACAAAGGCGACGAUCCGUAGCUGGUCUGAGAGGAUGAUCAGCCACACUGGAACUGAGACACGGUCCAGACUCCUACGGGAGGCAGCAGUGGGGAAUAUUGGACAAUGGGCGCAAGCCUGAUCCAGCCAUACCGCGUGGGUGAAGAAGGCCUUCGGGUUGUAAAGCCCUUUUGUCGGGAAAGAAAAGCAGCAGGUUAAUACCGCGCUGUUCUGACGGUACCCAAAGAAUAAGCACCGGCUAACUUCGUG
rnacentral:rRNA from 1 species